CCUACGGGAGGCAGCAGUGGGGGAUAUUGCACAAUGGGGGAAACCCUGAUGCAGCGACGCCGCGUGUGGGAAGACGGUCCUCUGGAUUGUAAACCACUGUCCCCAGGGACGAAGGUGACGGUACCUGGGGAGGAAGCUCCGGCUAACUACGUGCCAGCAGCCGCGGUAAUACGCAGGGAGCGAGCGUUAUCCGGAAUUACUGGGGGUAAAGGGAGCGUAGGCGGGGAUGCAAGUUGGGGGUCAAAACUACCGGCUCAACUGGUAGUCGCACUUGAAACUGCAGUUCUUGAGUGGAAUAGAAGCAGGCGGAAUUCGUGGUGUAGCGGUGAAAUGCAUAGAUAUUACGAAGAACACCGAUGGCGAAGGCAGCCUGCUGGGCUUUUACUGACGCUGAAGCUCGAAAGUGUGGGGAGCGAACAGGAUUAGAUACCCGAGUAGUC
rnacentral:rRNA from 1 species